GAUUGGUCUGCCAUGAAGCAUGUGUCUGUCUAUAACGUGACCUGCUCAGAAUGUGUUGAUAAUCCUUUGUACUACAGCUUUUCUGAAAGAUAAAACUUUAGCCAUUGAGAACUACAAGAGUUUUGCUACGUUUCUCAAGAACAUUGAUGCCCUGAAUUUAGCAGGCGCUAUCGACAGAUCAGUUGGAAAAUAUUGUGAUGGGCUACUUUCUGCUCACACCACGGAGUGACUUGACACAAUGCUGGCCAAACAAGACGUAUCUACAAACAAAAUUGUGUUAAAUGGUUCCAAUCUGCCAUGAAGCGUUCAUCCAUAUAUACAGAAUGCAAGGAUGACAUCUUUUCAGGUCAAAAAGAAAAGACGAAUCAUUGUUGGAAAGGCUGACUGCAAGCACACAAGCUACUGACAUGGCUUUUAUCGAUCCACUGUCUUCGAUACCGUGAAUCCUCCUCUCCACCCUCUCAGGGCUGGGCAUCUCAGGUUCUGCACACUUUUGGAUUGCAUCUUACCUGGCAGGUCGCUACUACCAGAUGGCGUGGAGAGGAUCUGCACCAGGAUCUGCAUGCUCUCACUACUGGUUUUCCCCAGUGCUCAGUUCUAGAUCCUAUUUUCUCUUUACACCAAGUCACUCAACUCUGCCAUAUCGUCACAUGGUAUCUCCUAUCACCAGCUAGUUCCGACCCCCACUCCACAUCAGCCCACAUUAUUGCACAUGC
ensembl:lncRNA